CCUACGGGCGGCAGCAGUGAGGAAUAUUGGUCAAUGGACGAGAGUCUGAACCAGCCAAGUAGCGUGAAGGAUGACUGCCCUAUGGGUUGUAAACUUCUUUUAUAUGGGAAUAAAAUGUUCCACGUGUGGGAUUUUGUAUGUACCAUAUGAAUAAGGAUCGGCUAACUCCGUGCCAGCAGCCGCGGUAAUACGGAGGAUCCGAGCGUUAUCCGGAUUUAUUGGGUUUAAAGGGAGCGUAGGUGGAUUGUUAAGUCAGUUGUGAAAGUUUGCGGCUCAACCGUAAAAUUGCAGUUGAAACUGGCAGUCUUGAGUACAGUAGAGGUGGGCGGAAUUCGUGGUGUAGCGGUGAAAUGCUUAGAUAUCACGAAGAACUCCGAUUGCGAAGGCAGUUCACUGGACUGCAACUGACACUGAGGCUCGAAAGUGUGGGUAUCAAACAGGAUUAGAUACCCUUGUAAUC
rnacentral:rRNA from 1 species